UAAAUGGCUUUUAUAAAAGCCACAUUUAAAUACUUUGGAUUAUUAU
rfam:Physcomitrella patens subsp. patens PHYPAscaffold_344 genomic scaffold, whole genome shotgun sequence.